GACGAACGCUGGCGGCGUGCCUAAUACAUGCAAGUAGAACGCUGAAGGAGGAGCUUGCUUCUCCGGAUGAGUUGCGAACGGGUGAGUAACGCGUAGGUAACCUGCCUGGUAGCGGGGGAUAACUAUUGGAAACGAUAGCUAAUACCGCAUAAGAGUAGAUGUUGCAUGACAUUUGCUUAAAAGGUGCAAUUGCACCACUACCAGAUGGACCUGCGUUGUAUUAGCUAGUUGGUGGGGUAACGGCUCACCAAGGCGACGAUACAUAGCCGACCUGAGAGGGUGAUCGGCCACACUGGGACUGAGACACGGCCCAGACUCCUACGGGAGGCAGCAGUAGGGAAUCUUCGGCAAUGGACGGAAGUCUGACCGAGCAACGCCGCGUGAGUGAAGAAGGUUUUCGGAUCGUAAAGCUCUGUUGUAAGAGAAGAACGAGUGUGAGAGUGGAAAGUUCACACUGUGACGGUAUCUUACCAG
rnacentral:rRNA from 1 species